GAUGAACGCUGGCGGCGUGCCUAAUACAUGCAAGUCGAGCGAACAGACGAGGAGCUUGCUCCUUUGACGUUAGCGGCGGACGGGUGAGUAACACGUGGAUAACCUACCUAUAAGACUGGGAUAACUUCGGGAAACCGGAGCUAAUACCGGAUAACAUGUUGAACCGCAUGGUUCAACAGUGAAAGUCGGUUUUUCUGUCUCUUAUAGAUGGAUCCGCGCCGCAUUAGCUAGUUGGUAAGGUAACGGCUUACCAAGGCAACGAUGCGUAGCCGACCUGAGAGGGUGAUCGGCCACACUGGAACUGAGACACGGUCCAGACUCCUACGGGAGGCAGCAGUAGGGAAUCUUACGAAAUGGGCGAAAGCCUGACGGAGCAACGCCGCGUGAGUGAAGAAGGUCUUCGGAUCGUAAAACGCUGUUAUUAGGGAAGAACAAAUGUGUAAGUAACUAUGCACGUCUUGACGGUACCUAAUCAGAAAGCCACGGCUAACUACGUG
rnacentral:rRNA from 1 species